AAAGCUGUUACAUAGCGAUUCUACUAUGGACAAUUCCUUCCGACCUUUAUUAGAUCCACGACAGACGACACCUCCUUCUUCUUCUCUAUGCGCUUGAUGGAUACCUUCAAUAUCUUCUCUACAUAGAAUCCUGGCGAACGGCUAUAAUUGUGCACACUUGCCUCCAUUAAUCUACAAAUCUGUUUAUAAAUCGCAGUAGCUGAGACUCGAAGCCUACACCUCUUAAUGUAGAAGCAUUAAUGAACAUUUUAUCAACCAUUGGACCAAAGGUACUUCCACCAAAUUAUUCCCAUUUAGUAUAUGA
rnacentral:sRNA from 1 species